rnacentral:misc_RNA from 1 species
UUCAACCAAUAGACAUAUAUAUCAGAAGUAAAUUGGAUCAUAAAUAAUCGAACCCGAAACCUCAUACGAUUCCAAUGAGCUAAGCUUUUAACGAACUGCUUCACAUGUAACUAACUGGCUAGUUAAAAAUGGAACAAUAACCGUAACCCACAGCUUCUUAAAUUCUGGUAAAGAUAACUUCUUUGUAUUUGGGGUUUCUUUUUCUUGCAAGACAUCUCUAGCUUAUACUCUCCCUUUGCAUCCACUCAAAUCUUAAUCUCUUCAUUCAUACAGACAUGCAUAUAUAGUUGAUACAAGCUGAAAAGAGUCAUUAAUUCCAAAAGAUUAUUGAGAUUUUACAGGCAAUGGAGAUUAAGGUAGAAGAUGGGAAGUCUGAUCAUGAUCACCAUCUCAAUGAGCAAAAGCUUCCCCUCCUGGAAGCUGAUUUGCCCAUUCCUAACGCAGAAGAGAAAAACUUGAUUCAGAAAGCUAUUAGUCAGACAUUUACGAGCACAGCCCAUUUGGCUAAUCUAUUACCUACAGGAACGGUUCUUGCUUUCCAACUCUUAUCACCCAUAUUCUCAAACCAAGGCAACUGCGACUCAGUUAGCAGGUUCAUGACCGCCGGGCUAGUAGCUCUUUGCGGUUUGUCAUGUUUCUUAUCGAGCUUCACAGACAGCUUCAGAGACAAGAACGGGGACGUCUGUUAUGGGUUGGCUACAUUUCGUGGCUUAUGGAUUAUUGAUGGGUCGGUAACAAUUUCACCAGAGCUCGCAGCAAAGUACCGCUUACGGUUUAUAGAUUUCAUGCACGCCUUCAUGUCAAUACUUGUAUUUGCAGCGAUUGCGCUAUUUGAUCAGAAUGUGGUAAAUUGCUUCUAUCCAACACCAUCGGCUGAGACACAGGAAGUCCUCACGGCAUUACCAGUGGGAAUUGGUGUAAUUUGCAGUAUGUUGUUCGUUGUUUUUCCAACCCAGCGCCAUGGAAUUGGCUUCCCUCUCUCUCCCAUUUGAUAUAGUAGUUGUGCAAAGCCAUCCCUCUCCAAGAUGUAAAACUCAGGCAAAUUCAUUUGCACUUUUCAUCAUUCUUUUCUUGUUAUCUUUCUUGAAAGGGAUUCAUAUAUAUGAUCAUUUCUCCCCGCAAAAUGAACCAUUUCAGGCCCUUAUUCAAAUCAUUAAUUUGUGGAUAUUGUUAGGGAGAAAAUAAAUAAAUAAAUAAAGCUGG